UACGAAGGGGGCUAGCGUUGCUCGGAAUUACUGGGCGUAAAGGGCGCGUAGGCGGCACUGUUAGUCAGGCGUGAAAGUCCUGGGCUCAACCUGGGAACUGCGCUUGAUACGGCAGAGCUAGAGGAUGGAAGAGGCUCGCGGAAUUCCCAGUGUAGAGGUGAAAUUCGUAGAUAUUGGGAAGAACACCGGUGGCGAAGGCGGCGAGCUGGUCCAUUACUGACGGCUGAG
rnacentral:rRNA from 1 species